GUUUGUGUGUGUGCAUGGAAAAGACAACUGCUGGCGACCUCCGGCUUGAACCGGCGCCAAUGCCCCGUCUGUCGAUUAACCAGCAAUCAGUGUGUACGUGAGGCGCCUAGGUGCACUGGGAAGAUCAACAGCUGAUCAGCCGGGAGCAGCAAGCGACACAAGUUACGUGUUCCAGCAAACAAGCGCGGAAUCCAAACAACGUUUUCGAAAAAUACACGACUGGCUGAGCGCGCCGAUAUCUCAAUCCUUGUCGUAAUGCCACUGAGGCACCUGUCGCGUGUUUCGGCGUUUAUAAAUAAAUUCAGCUGAAUAAUGUGUUAUGCAGCAAGAGGAAAUGUCAACGAUAAAGCCCACGACUCGUCGUUUGCAACGCACAAAGAAGCCCCGCAAGCGGAAAUCUCAAUCCGUGCAUGUCCAUAAAUGCAAAUUCUCGCACAUCUCGGCAUGAGUUCCUUAGCGCCUAUUGUGUAUGCAGCGCAUUUGUGUUUCAUAACUGCAUUUGAGUUUCGAUAACAUCUAUUCACAGUAUACAUAUGUAUUUCUUGUGCUUUACAUGUGAAAGGCUUGUACCGAUAAUAUCGUUGCAAUACGAUACACAAUAUCGCAAUAAUUUUGUGCUUCCCAAGUGAAAGGCCUAGCAUCGAUAACCUCAUUACAAUACGAUAUUUAUACCGAUAUGAUCUUUGCAAUGAGUAUGCCACUUUACAGUGAUUCGAUAACAUCAAUUCAUUGUGUUCGCGGCUCAAUCUUACCGGCCGGCAGACUGAUCUGGCAACCAUGUGCCGCUUUACCAGAACAAACAAAAACAAAAACAACAGAAAGCGUAAACUGAAAAGAUGGAAGGAGCCUUGACCAAAGCAGAAC
rnacentral:sRNA from 1 species